UGAGUAAGCCAGAUGGUCGCGGGCAUUUUGUCCGAGGAAAGUCCGAGCUCCAUAGGGCAGGGUGCUGGGUAAUACCCAGUGAGGGUGACCUCAAGGAUAGUGCAACAGAAAGAUACCGCCUCGUUUCAUACAUGAAUGUUUAACGAGGUAAGGAUGGAAAGGUGAGGUAAGAGCUCACCAGCGAGAUGGCGACUUCUCGGCUAUGUAAACCCCACCUGGAGCAAGACCAAAUAGAGAAGCAUAUACGGCGGCCCGUCGUGCUUCCGGGUAUGGUUGCUAGAGGUGUCAGGCAACUGGCAUCCCAGAUAGAUGACCGUCAAAUACAGAACUCGGCUUAUAGACUUACUCAUAAA
rnacentral:RNase_P_RNA from 1 species